rnacentral:lncRNA from 1 species
GCCCUUUCUCCGGUGUUGGCAUCAUGUCGCCUGUGAUCUUCUCCUUAGGAAAUAGCACUUCCCAUUCGAACCUCUUCACCACAUUGUGAACGAAGGUGAGGAUUGCUAGGCGAGCGUACUCUUUCCCGGGGCACAUUCUUGGCCCUCCUCCAAAUGGAACGAAUGUAAAAGCUGGGAAUGCACUUAGGUCAUCAUAUCUUGAUGGAUCAAACUUUUCCGGGUUGGGGAAGUAUUCCGGGUUCAUGUUUGUUGUACUGACAGUCCAGUAUACCUUCCAGCCCUUCAGAAUGGUGUAACCGGCGUAGGUAAAAUCAGUCAAGGCCUCUCUGAAUGUUCCUUGAAGUGGCGGUGUGAAUCUCAUCACUUCAUGCAACACAUUCCAUGAGUACUUCAUCUUGUUGAUGUCUUCCCACUCCAGUAAGUCUUCUGGCUUCUUUGAGUCUGCAAUCUCUUUGUGCUCUGUUUUUUACAGGACAACUCACAUUUAGCACAAAAUAUAGAGAGAAAAACGUUGCCGGACGUGCUCAAAACAGUUGAAAAAUUAGAAAGAAAGGCUGUUAAAGUUGAUGUGAUUAGUAUUUACCAGCUAGGACCUUGGCAUAAAUGUCUGGCUUCUCUCCCACAUACUUCAUGAAGAAAGUCUUGGCAGUAGACACAGUGCUAUAUCCUGCUGUGAGUAAACCCAUUAUCUUAUCGGCAACCUCUGCCUCCGGCAUGUAUUUUCCAGAUGGAUCACUGGUCAUAAUCAUAUGUGACAAAAUGUCAUGCAUAGGCGCUCCCGAUGCCAUUGCAGCCUUCUUCUCCUGAAUCACAGUCUUCAACUCCUUUCGCAGCGCAUCUGCAGCUUUGGUUGCCUUAAAGAAUAUUGUUCCUGGGAAGUUCACAAUAAGUGAAUGCAUCCCAACAGUAACAUCAUCAAAGUGGCUCACUAGGCUUGCAAUUUUCUCGGGAUCAUCGAUGCCCAAGAAGAAUCUGCAGGCAAGACUUAGAGUGAGUUUCUUGGCCAAAGGGUAGACCUUGACCUCAUCUUUUCCUUCCCAACAGGUUCUCAUCUGUUCUUGGGUUAUUGAGUCCAUUUUUCCCAAGUACCUCACCAAUGCUUCCGGCUUCAAAAACCCUGGGGACCUCAAUACUUUCGCUUCUUCAUUACGAGCAGGCUGUGCUGCAGGAGGAGCAGAAGCUGCAGCAGCAGCCUUGUACGAACGAAACAUCUUCUGCAUGGAAUGUGGUCGAAAAGCUGUGAAGUACUUUUGUUCAUUGGAGAACAGAAACUUGUGUCCAUUAGGACCACAAAUGACAGCAGUUUUCUCUCCAAGAAUUUUGGUCUUGAAGAUGUCAGGAGAGUACCUCCUCAUCCUCUUGAACACAAAAUUUUCCGGCUUCCCAAACAGAAACUCGAGAGUUUCUCCCACAAUAGGCCACCCCAUGCUCCCUGGCGGUAGGUUGUUACUGUCAUCUGAAUUUCGCUUGAAUGCAAAGACGGUCAAAGCGAAAACUGCAGCUCCCAAAGAGAGAACAAGGUAAAGGGUGUCCAUGGUUUUCACUCGAAGUCUCAAAGUAUUUGAAGUUGGCAAAGGAGAGUGAGAUGUCUAGGAAGCUUGGAAUGUCGGGUUUUUAAAGGAUUAGAUCGUCCUAUAAAAUAUUCUCUAGUCUAAGUUGGGGAUAGCACGCCAAAAUCUGUCCAGUUUAAAUAUUCAGGAGGAUAAGCAAUCAUUUCAUAUUAUUUGAUAAAAUAAAAGUGAUCCUACCAACCUUAGGCAGACAUUCUCAUUCUACCUUUUCAACUCUCUUUCUUAUUCUGCAAUUUUGUACGAUAAUUAAAACCGUUCAUAUUUUAGUUCAUCAUAGAAUUUCGGUAUUUUGCAAAGUUGAUAUUAAAAGUGACUUAGAAAAUCGACGGUUUUGAUUAUUUUGCAGCAUUGCAGGAUGAGAAUGAGAGUGAAGAACGUAGAGUGAGAAGGCUCAAAUUUUUGUCUUUACAAACAUAGGUAUUGCUCCGAAUUUUAAUCCUAUUUCCAGUACAAAUGCUGCUAAUCACCGGGAAACAAUCUGUUAAGUUGUUUUACUACUUAGCUUUUAAGUUUUUUUUUUUUUAAUCAUUGAAAGAGUUUGACAUUUUAUAGACAUAUGACUUGCUCAAACAAUUGAACAACUGAUCUGUUUCUGUUCCUAACAGAUUAUAUUCAACCCCAAACGGCAGAACCGAGUCAAGAAUGCCAAAAAUGCGGUACCAAGGAAACAAUACUAAAUUGUUAUUCCUCGAUUAACUUCGAUAAUUCAUGCCAUGAUCAUCAUAUUUUCCUCUUCAUGUAAGCUGUUCCCUAACCGAAAAGCGUCAUAGACGAAGUGGUUUGUAUUUUCUCGUUUAAAUUCUGUAACUUGUUUGCUAUAAUAUUAGACCAGAUCACUCCUACAAUGUUUUCAGAUUUUGCUCACUAAUCUUUCCUAACCUUUAGGCAUAUGUCAGGAUUGUAUUGUGUGUUCGUUUUGACUUAGUCUUCUGUGUACAGCUGUGACACAUGGAUCGUGUACCUUGUAGUGAAAUGUUAUAAAACCACUGAUCUCAUUUGAGGUUGGCACAUCUUAGAUAUUGCAGCAGGUAAUUCAUCCAGUUCAAAGACAAAUUUUGACUACAUGUACUCUACGUUACUCAAUAUAUUUGAUCACCCGCUCUCCACAUCACCCAAUAUAUCCGCUACUCAUCGUUCAUCAAAUUAUUAAAGAAAAUUUAGGUGGCCAACCUUGGCAACUAGAUGUUUUGCUUGGAAGGAGUGCUAAGUUUUAGAUUACCUCUCCUACUUCAAUAUGAAAUUUACAAAUUUGAAAGGGGGUUAUUGAUGAUCACAUGAUAUAGCAUAUCCUCAUUACAUUUAAAGGGAAAAAGGAAUGAUAUUUGAAGACAGAGAAAAAAAUUCAUAGUUUGAUUGUUUGUCUAGUGACAUCGAAGGCGAACUGGAAGCCCUUUCUCGGGUGUUGGCAUCAUGUCGCCGGUGAUCUUCUCCUUAGGAAAUAGAACUUCCCAUUCGAACCUCUUGACCACAUUGUGAACGAAAGUGAGUAUCGCUAGGCGAGCGUACUCUUUCCCGGGGCACAUUCUUGGCCCCCCUCCAAAUGGAACAAAUGUGAAAGCUGGGAAUACACUUAGGUCAUCAUAUCUUGAUGGGUCAAACAUUUCUGGGUUGGGGAAGUACUCUGAGUUCAUGUUCACUGUACUCACAGUCCAAUAUACUUUCCAGCCCUUCGGAAUGGUGUAACCGGCGUAGGUGAAAUCAGUCAAGGCCUCUCUGAAUGUUCCUUGAAGUGGCGGCGUGAAUCUCAUCACUUCAUACAACACAUUCCAUGAGUACUUCAUUUUGUUGAUGUCUUCCCAUUCCAAAAAGUCUCCUGGCUUCUUUGAGUCUGCAAUCUGCUUGUGCUCUGAAUUUAACAAGACAAAUCAUACUUUAGCACCAAAAAAAUGUAAGCAAUAUGCAUUAAGUAGAAAUGUUAAGUUGAAGUGAUUAGUAUUUACCAGCUAGGACCUUGGCAUAAAUGUCUGGCCUCUCUCCAACAUAUUUCAUGAAGAAUGUCAUGGCGGUGGCCACAGUGCUGUAUCCUGCAGUCAAUAAGCCCAUGAUCUUGUCCGCGACCUCAGCCUCGGGCAUGUGUUUGCCAGAUGGAUCACUAGCCACGAUCAUGUGUGACAAUAUAUCAUGCAUGGGACCUCCUGCGGCCAUUGCAGCCUUCUUCUCCUGAAUCACAAUCCUCAACUCCUUUCGCAGCGCAUCGGCCGCUUUGGUUGCCUUGUAGAAUGUUGUUCCUGGGAAGUUGAUAAUAAGUGAAUGCAUACCAACAGUAACAUCAUCAAAGUUGCUCACCAGCCUUGCAAUUCGCUCGGAAUCAUCGAUCCCCAAGAAGAAUCUGCAGGCAAGACUUAGAGUGAGGGUCUUGGCCAAAGGGUAGACCUCGACCACAUCUUUGCCUUCCCAAUAAGCCUUCAUCUGUUCCUGAGUGAUAGAGUCCAUUUUCCCCAAGUACCUAACCAGUGCUUCCGGCUUCAAAAACCCUGGCGAUCUUAUAACUUUCGCUUCUUCAUCACGAGAAGGUUGUGCCACAGCAGGACCAGCAGCAGCGGUGGGGGCGGCAGCCUUGUAUGAUCGAAACAUCUUUUGCAUUGAAUGUGGUCGAAAAGCUGUGAAGUACUUUUGUUCAUUGGAGAACAGAAAUUUGUGUCCACUAGGACCACAAAUCACUGCAGUUUUCUCCCCCAGAAUAUAGGUCUUGAAGAUGUCAGGAGAGUACCUCCUCAUCCUCUUGAACACAAAAUUUUCCGGCUUCCCGAACAGGAACUCGAUCGAUUCACCCACAAUAGGCCACCCCAUGCUUCCUGGUGGGAGGUUUUUGCCAUCAUCUGAUUUUCCUUUGAAUGCAAAGAUUGUAAAGGCUAAGAAAGCAGCACCUAAAGAGAAUAUAAGGUACAAAGUCUCCAUGGUUGGAAUUUGGAGCUGAUCAAGUCUCAAAUACUUAGCUGAGACUGAUUGAAGUUAGCAAGAGGAGUGGUGUGUAGGAAGCUUGGAAAGUUGGGGUUUUAUAGGGAAAGAUUCACUGUGUCAACAACUUUGAGUUAGCAGUAGCACACCAAAAGUGACAAACUUUGAAUAUUCUUCAGAAGGACUUGGUUUGAUAUAAAAUAUUCGAACUUCAACUUGCAAUAACAUUAAUCAUAUAUUCAUAAAACACAUGGUUGCUUGCUCCACUAAGUUUAUUGCUAGGUGGUCCUUCAAUUUGCAGAUGUUAGCAUUUAUGUUUUCAUGAAAGGACAAGAGAAACCUGUUUGCUGGAAUUCUCUACUUAACUAGUGCAUUACUAAAGCUUCGGUACCAAAAUUGCUAUUUACUUGUUUAACUUGUGUGAGGGUGAGUCUUGAUGCAUCGGAAAGGUUGCUCAUUUGUGACCAAAAAGGUUACUGGUUCGAGUCGUGAAAAUAAUCUUUUUGCAAAACAAAUGUAUGACUGCAUAAGAUAGAUGUUCCUCCUCCGAUCCUCACAAAACGGAGAGUCUUAUUGGCUUGGAGGCACCCUUUUACUUAUUUAACUUGUGUAAUUUGUAGCAAGAUUAGAUGGUUAGAAGUUUAUUGGACUGAAUACUAUAAAAGCAUGUUUUUCUUCUUCAUUUUCCCUCUGAUUAAAUUGGAAAGGGCACCAUGCCAAAGUGAUUUCUAUGCAUUUUGUUCAACGUUUGCUAACCAUCUCCAUUUUAAGUUUUUAGUUCUCAUUUCAGAUUUGGGUUUUGAGCUUCCAGUUUUCAUUUUUCAAAAAAAAAAUAAAAAAAUACAAAAACUAAAAACAAAAUAAUUAUCGAAGUGCUUCUUCAAGUUUUGUUGGAUGAUUAUUUCUAAACUUGGCAUCGAUUGUUGUAGAUUCAAAAGUUUUAAUUUAAAAAAUAAAAAAUAAAAGACUAGACGGUGGCUUCGUCAUGAAAUCAAUUCUUUCGAGGGCUAGGAAGACUCAUACAAACAUCUCUCCCUAGCUACCAUCAUGUGCUUCACAAACACCAGGAAUCGAAUGUAAAACAUAUUGUGUGAAAUACAAAUCUAGAACCGUGGUAGGUGAUUCAAAAGCUUUAAAUCAAGGAUACAAAAUAGCAAAUUAAAUGGCGAGAGAUACAUAAUACAAGAGAUGUUAAGCACCAAGGUACUUACAAUAACACCCGCACACGUCAUGGGCACCUCAAGCGGUGGUCAAUUAAUUCAGCCUAGAGGCUUCCCAUGAUGGCUCGCCGGCUUCCAUAAUUGGCUUUAUAAAGGUCUUCCCUUCACAUUAGGGACUUUCCGGUACAUGCAUCUCCUCAUCUAUUUCUUCUUAUUCAUCUUCCCGGUGACGUACAGCAGGAGUGCAAGUUGAAUUGGAAAUUUUAAUCCAAAUAAUAAAAUUUUGUUUUGAGUCCUAACAUUUCCAAUUGCGAGAAUUUUGGAUGGCAUUUGAUAUUUACUUAUACAAUCCGAAAUUUUGAAAAUUUUCAAACUUAACACUAUAAACAAAAAAACCACGCAUAUUCUUAUUUUAUCAUGUAUUUAGAUAUGCUUUAUUUUUAUUUUUUAAUUUAAUUAUACUAUUAUAUGUUAAAAAUAAAGAAUGUAACUAUUUUAUCUUGUUUAAUAUGAUUUUAUGUUGAACACAUAUACGCCUACAAUAAUCACAAAAAAAUCAAAAAAAAAAAUAUUGACCUGUGGACACAUAAAAUUUUUGGCAAUUUUAACGUCUUCAAAAUAUAUGAGAUCCAAGUUAUGUUAUGAAAUUUAUGAUACAAAACCGAUUCGAAAUUUCAGAUAAAUUCCGAUAAUGCAAACUUCCGAACUAGAAACUAAUAUACACGGGCGCGGACUGCACGAUAUUGCACUUGUAUUUGCACGAUUAUUUAUUGUGGUUUAUCCUUUGGUCAACAUUCGACUGAGCGUCAACUUUAGUAGGCCAACCUUGGCGACCGACAACAACCAACAGGAAAUCAGACUCACUGCAAGUAAUUUAGUAAUGGUAUUCGUGGAUUACUAUUUAACUGAGGAUGAGUUUAAACUAUGGUAUUCGGGCACAAAUAGAACGAGAAACGGUGUUGACAUCAUCGUGGACAAGACCUUGACACAAGAUGUUGUAGAUGUCAAGAGGGUAGGAGAUAGAAUCAUGGCAAUCAAGAUUGUAAUAGGACAAGAACUUAUCAAUGUGAUUAGUGCGUACGCACCUCAAGUAUGGUUGGAUACGAGUUCGAAGGAGAAAUUUGGGAAGACCUUGGAGACUUGGUGCAAGGAAUUGCUCAGACGGAGAAGUUAUUUAUAAGAGGAGAUUUAAAUGGACACGUGGGCAGGGAGACAGGCAACUAUGGAAGUUUUCAUGGUGGCCAUGGUUUGGGGAGAGAAACGAGGAUGGGGAAGCUAUCUUGGAUUUUGCAAUGGCAUAUGAUCUCUUCUUAGCCAACACCUUCUUUAAGAAGAGAGAAGAACAUGUGAUCACCUACAAGAGUGGGUCGUCAAAAACACAAAUAGAUUUUCUUCUAAUGAGGAAAGGGGAUCGUAUAACUUGUAAGGAUUGCAAAGUUAUACCAGGAGAGAGCGUGGCUAAUCAACAUCGCUUGUUGGUGAUGAUGAUGUACAUAUCAAAAGAGUGAGAAAAAAGAACAAGACUUGGAAGUGCCCAAGGACUAGAUGGUGGAAUCUAAAAGAAGAAAAACAAGCCAUUUUCAAAGAGAAAAUAAUCACCCAAUGUGUGUGGGAUAGAGAGGGGGAAGCUAACCAAAUGUGGGAUUCCAUGGCUAGUUGUAUCCGAAAAGUAGCAAAAGAGGUAUUAGGAGAGUCCAAGGGCUUUUGCCCCACACCAAAAGGAAUCUUGGUGGUGGAAUGAGGAGGUACAAACAAAGGUGAAGGCUAAGAAGGAAUGUUGUAAAGCCUUAUACAAGGAUAGGACCGAUGAAAAUGGUGAAAGGUAUAGAAAAGCGAAGCAAGAGGCGAAGAAAGCUGUGAGAUAAGCUAAGUUAGCGGCUUAUGACGAUAUGUAUAAGCGACUAGAUACCAAAGAAGGAGAGUUGGAUAUCUAUAAACUAGCUAGAGCAAGGGAAAAGAAGACAAGGGACCUAAACCAAGUGAGGUGCAUCAAGGAUGAGGAUGGAAAGGUUCUUGCUACAGAGAACGCGGUUAAAGACAGAUGGAAAAGUUAUUUUCAUAAUCUUUUCAAUGAAUGACAUGAAAGGAGUGCUUCUUUAGGGGAGUUGAGUAACUCAGAAGAGUGUAGAAACUACUCUUUUUAUCGUAGAAUCCGGAAGGAAGAAGUGGUUGUAGCUUUGAAGAAGAUGAAGCAUAGAAAAGCAGUAGGCCCAGACGAUAUACCAAUCGAAGUGUGGAAAGUUUUGGGAGAGACAGGUAUAACAUGGCUCACUGACCUUUUCAAUAGGAUUUUGAAAACGAAGAAGAUGCCAAAUGAGUGGCGAACGAGCACUUUGGUGCCUAUAUACAAGAAUAAGGGCGAUUUACAAAAUUGCAUGAACUAUAGGGGUAUUAAGCUAAUGAGUCAUACAAUGAAGCUUUGGGAGAGAGUCAUUGAGCAUAGAUUGAGGCAAGAGACACGGGUUUCGGACAACCAAUUCGGGUUCAUGCCAGGGCGCUCAACCAUGGAGACAAUCUAUCUCUUACGAAGAUUGAUGGAAAGAUAUAGAGAUGGGAAAAAUGAUAUACACAUGGUCUUUAUAGAUUUGGAAAAAGCGUAUGAUAGGGUCCCAAGAGACAUUCUUUGGAGGAUUUUAGAGAAGAAAGGAGUACGAGUAGCAUAUAUCCAAGCUAUACAGGAUAUGUAUGAAGGAGCAAAGACUGCCGUAAGAACUCAUGAAGGACAAACCGAGAGCUUUCCCAUAAGUGUAGGAUUACAUCAAGGCUCAUCCUUAAGUCCUUACCUUUUUGCGUUGGUAAUGGAUGAGUUAACAGGACAUAUUCAAGAUGAUAUUCCUUGGUGUAUGCUUUUCGCAGACGAUAUAGUGUUGAUAGAUGAAACUCAGGAAAGGGUAAAUGCAAAGCUUAACCUUUGGAGAGAAGUGUUGGAAUCUAAAGGUCUUCGCCUAAGCCGAUCAAAGACAGAAUAUAUGGAGUGCAAGUUCAGUGCAAAUGGAGGCCAAAACGAGUUAAGGGUGAGGAUCGGAGAUCAAGAAAUACCAAAGAGCGACCGUUUUCGUUACCUAGGAUCUAUCUUGCAAAAGAACGGAGAAUUAGAUGAAGAUCUCAACCAUAGAAUACAAGCUGGAUAGAUGAAGUGGAAGAGUGCAACCGGCGUGUUGUGUGACCGCCGUAUGCCACUGAAGCUCAAGGGAAAAUUUUAUAGGACGGCAAUAAGGCCGGCGAUGCUGUAUGGCACAGAAUGUUGGGCGGUGAAGCAUCAACACGUACAAAAAAUGGGUGUAGCGGAGAUGAGGAUGCUUCUUUGGAUGUGUGGGCACACGAGAAAGGAUAAGAUUAGGAAUGAGGAUAUCCGGGGUAAAGUAGGAGUAGCCGAAAUUGAAGGAAAGAUGAUAGAAAAUCGGUUACGGUGGUUUGGACAUGUGCAAAGAAGGCCUACUGAUGCUCCGAUUAGAAGAUGCGACUAUGGGACAGAGGUUCAGGGCCGAAGGGGUAGAAGAAGACCCAGGAAAACUUUGAGAGAGACCCUAAGAAAAGACUUAGAGUGCUUGGAUCUAACAGAGGACAUAACACAGGACAAAACACAAUGGCGUUCUAAGAUUCAUAUAGCCGAUCCCACUCAGUGACUUGGAUUUUCCAAGUCUCCAACCGAGAAGUUGUCCUCGCUCGGGAAAUUAAGGGAACACUACCUCAACCUACAUGCUCCACUCACAAAGCUCCAACAUACAAGCUUCAACAAAAGAAAAUUCAAAGAACUUAGGGAAGAAGGCUUUGGUGAUUUAACACAAUACGUUGAAAUGAAGGAAAGCUUAUUUAUUGAUAUCCCCGAUAAAUUACAAAUAUGUACAUAUACUUGAGUCAAAAUAAACAAACAAGAGGGAGCCUUCACAAAUGUUGCUUAGGAGAAGUCUCGGCAGUCGGUAGAGCCCCAGAAAGAGAAGGCACCGGAGGGGGAUCAUUCGGAGCCUCAGUACUGGACAGAACCCUAGAAUGAGGAGGCAUCAGAGGUUGAUCAUUUGGAGCUUCAUUACGCGGUACAGCCCCAGAAGACGAAGGCAAUAAAUGCCUUUGGAACAAACCCACAAAUCUCUGAUGAUCAAGUAAAACCUGACCAUCAGAUUCCUUCAUCUGGUCAAGCUUCCUCUUCAUGUUUGUAGCAUAGUCAUGUGCGAGCCGGUGCAACUGUUUAUUCUCAUGCUUGAGCCCUCUAAUCUCCUGUUUGAGACUCAUCACUUCAGCCGCCAAUGAUUCAACUUGGCGGGUUCGAGCAAAUAGGCGUUGGGCCAUAUUAGACACAGAACCUGCACACUGAACACUAAGAGCCAGAGAAUCCUUAACAGCCAACUCAUCAGACCGUUUGGAAAAUAGUCUGUUAUCUUUGGGAGUGAGAAGGUUCCUGGCCACUACCGCAUCGGUCAUAUCAUUCAUCAUCAUGGAAUCCCCAACGGUAAGAGGACUAGUAGGGGAGACGAAGGAUGGGCGCCAUAUGUUGUCUGGAGAAGGCGGGGCUGCCUCUUCAACAAGGUUCAAGUCAAAACGACGGUCGGAGGGGCCAGACAUUUUCAAAGGUGUAGAAGAGAGAAUAGGUCGGACAAAUCAAGAUCUUAGAAGUGCAAGAAUGGAGCUUCUACUGGUGGAUAUUCAAGUGUGCUUUGGAACUUAAUGUCAGCCUCUAUAAAAAUCUGCACUCGACGAAGCUUCAGAAAUCGAAUAGGCGUUUGCUUUCUCAAAAGCUGGGCUGCUCAGAGACCACGAGGGUCGAUCUCAGAAAUCGAAGAGGCGUUUGAUUUCUCAAAAGAUGGGCUGCUCAAAGACCACGAAGGCCGAUCUCAGAAAUCGAAGAGGUUUGCUUUCUCAAAAGCUGGGCUGCUUAGAGACCACGAGGGCCGAUCUCAGAAAUCGAAGAGACACCUACUUUUCCAGCCUUGUCAACAUCUGUCACACGCACACUCAGCUUUGCGAAAAUUAUGGGCAUUCUGUCGAAGAUUUCUGGCGAAGUAGAAAACACAUGAAUCGUACUGUUCAAUCACCCACUUCCCACACGCAACAGUAGCUCAUGGGUACCACAUAUAAUUUUGCCAAAGUUCUCUGACAAAGUUGAGACUACUUUUCCAACCUUGUCAGCACCUGUCACACGCACACUCAGCUUUGCGGAAAUUAUGGGCAUUCUGUCGAAGAUUUCUAGCGAAGUAGAAAGCACAUGAAUCGUAUUGUUCAAUCACCCAAUUCCCACACGCAACAGUAGCUUAUGGGUACCACAUAUAACUUUGCCAAAGUUCUCUGACAAAGUUGAGACACGUGAAGCUUGCAACUCUCACUACAUCGCUCUGACCAAGAAGGGUAAAAGAAUAGCAAAGAAACAACACUAACAAAGUUUAGACACAUAAAUUUUGAAGGCCUAGCUACCAUAUUAUUACCCACAAGGGUAAAGGAACAUUACCACUGCUGGAUAAUUGGAAAGUCCCGGUGUGUCAACCUCUGUGCUUCGUGGCAAGGUAGACUAGCAAACAUGCCCAACCUUUACUCAUAUUCGAGAAAACACUCCCAACAAGAUUGCUUGCCCCAAAAUCGAAGAGGCAUCGCCCUCCGAAUCUCGAGAGCCAGAUUCCCAACAUGAUUACUUUCUAAAAAAUCGAAGAGAGGGUAAAGGAACAGUACCACUGCUGGAUAAUUUGAAAGUCCCUGUGUGUCAACCUCUGUGCUUCGUGGCAAGGUAGACUAGCAAACAUGCUCAACCUUUACUCACAUUCGAGAAAACACCCCCAACAAGAUUGCUUGCUCCAAAAUCGAAGAGGCACCGCCCUCCGAAUCUCGAGAGCCAGACUCCUAACAUGAUUACUUUCUCAAAAAUCGAAGAUAGGGUAAAGGAACAGUACCACUGCUGGAUAAUUGGAAAGUCCCUGUGUGUCAACCUCUCUGCUUCGUGGCAAGGUAGACUAUCAAACAUGCCCAACCUUUACUCAUAUUCGAGAAAACACUCCCAACAAGAUUGCUUGCUCCAAAAUCGAAGAGGCACCGCCCUCCGAAUCUCGAGAGCCAGACUCCCAACAUGAUUACUUUCUCAAAAAUCGAAGACACCGCUCUCCGAAUCUCGAGAGCCAGACCCCAGCAGGAUUGCUUUCUCAAAAAUCGAAGAGGCAUCGUUCUCCAAAUCUCGAGAGCCAGAUCCCCGACAGGAUUGCUUGUUCGAAAACCGAAGAGGCACCACUUUCCCAACUUUAAAAGCCGGAUCUCCUUGGAUAAAGCUUGUCUGUAAUCUUCACACGCAACAUCAGCUUUCCAGAUACCACAGACCACUUUUUCAAAGUGCUUUGACAGAGUUAAAACUUGUGAAGCUGGCAGCUCCCACUAUCGUGCUAUGACCAAGCAGGGUAAAGGAAUAACAUUAUUACUUGAUGUUAGGGAGACUCCUAUAUAUGUCGACCUCCAUCCCCAACGGACAGGCAGACCUGCAAAAAUGCUCAACCCUUCCUCUUAUCUGAGAGGGCACUCCCAACGAAGCCUUUCGAAAUAUUUAGCUUUCUUUCCCCCCGAUAAUACCUCUGUAAACAAGCUAUACUAGAGCAAGAAUAUCUCAUAUCAUCAGGGUUAAAAGAAAGAGUAUCCCAUAUCAUGCUUUUUCCUUGUCUUUUCCUUUGGCCUUGUUCUUACCUGCAAGACAAGGAGAAAGAGAGCAAUCAGUCAGCACUUGGAAUCAAGCUUCCAGCCAGGAACUGACUGCCUGGAACCCCUUACCUGAUUACUUACCUGGCAUUGCUCUCGAAUACUCAUCUUCAACAUCUUAUGCUUCCAGGGAAGAUACCGCAUCUGCUUGAGGAACAGAUAGGGCAAGUGAGAAUGAUACAAGGAAGCAUGUGGAGACAAGCGUAACAGCACACAUGCCGAUACAUCCACUACUCUGUCAAAAGCAAAAGUAUCCCAUAUCAGCAGGGUCGAACGUACUCUAGAUUUGAUGGACUUGUUUUGACCCUCAAAUUCUUCAGUCGGCCUUAUACUCUGGAGGAAACCAGAAAACCCUCCAGCCCAGUUCAAGAAUAAGCCUAUGGAAAGUUACUUAUUCAAAAGCAAAAGUAUCCCAUAUCAUCUCUUCUCAUUUUUCUUCUCUUUAUCCUUCAUGCUGCCUGCAAGAUAUGGAGAAUGUGAACAAUCAGUCGGAGCUCUGAUUGCUUACCUUGUCUGUUACCUCUUUCAGCAGAUCCCCUAGCUCGGCGACUUGGGGGACUCCUACUACAUGGUUUGUAUCGCGCUUGACCAAGCCUGAAACUACAAGUAAGCUUCAAGUGACAUUGAUACAUUACCUUGUGCAUCUCCACCAGUUACAGAUACCACCCUUGGAUGGAGGAAGAGUACUUCCAGAGAAGAUUCCACAUCUACCUAUGAGACAGAUAAGGAAAGUCAAGACGAUACCACACUCCGGUACUUAGAAGUUUCGUGGUUACGAGAUCAUUCUCCCACAAUAUUUCCUAAUGUCAUUUGUACUAAAUCAUUCACUUGUACUCCCUAAAGGAGAGCUUGAACCUAUGUACUUGUGUAAACCCUUCACAAUUAAUGAGAACUCCACUAUUCCGUGGACGUAGCCAAUCUGGGUGAACCACGUACAUCUUGUGUUUGCUUUCCUAUCUCUAUCCAUUUAUAUACUUAUCCACACUAAUGACCGGAGCAAUCUAGCGAAGAUCACAAAAAGUGACCGUUUUCACUACCUAGGAUUUAUCUUGCAAGAGAACGGAGAAUUAGAUGGAGAUCUCAACCAUAGAAUACAAGUUGGAUGGAUGAAGUGUAAGAGUGUAUCCGGCGUGUUGUGUGACCGUCGUAGGCCACUGAAGCUCAAGGGAAAAUUUUAUAGGACGGCAAUAAGGCCAGCGAUGUUGUAUGGCACAGAAUGUUGGGCGGUGAAGCAUCAACACGUACACAAAAUGGGUGUAGCGGAGAUGACGAUGCUUCGUGGGAUGUAUGGGCACACGAGAAAGGAUAAGAUUGGGAAUGAGAAUAUCCGAGGUAAAGUAGGAGUAGCCAAAAUUGAAGGAAAUAUGAGAGAAAAUCGGUUCCGGUGGUUUGGACAUGUGCAAAGAAGGCCUACUGACGCUCCGGUUCGAAAAUGUGACUACGGGACAGAAGUGCAGGGCCGAAGGGGUAGAGGAAGACCUAGGAAAACUUUGGAAGAGACCCUAAGAAAAGACUUGAGUACUUGGAUCUAACGGAGGACAUGACACAAAACCGAGCGCAAUGGCGUUCUAGGAUUCAUAUAGCCGACCCCACUUAGUAGGAAAAAGCUUUGUUAUUGUUGUUGUUGUUGUACAGAGAAUGAAACUUAAACUAGAUCGCAUAAUACACUACUUAAAAUCGAUUUGACUAGAUUUGCAUGGACAACUUUCGUAAUUUGAAGAUCACUUGAAUUUACCUAAUUUGAAAACAGCAGAAUAAGAAGUAAUGGAUCUCAUGAGUCUCGAUAUAUUUAUUAUAUCUUCUAAUUCAACUUCAAAUAUUAAAUAGGAAAGGGACGGUUUGAGUUCGAACUUCAGUAGCUAAUCUAACAAAAUUUAUCAUUUACAUACAAAAAAAUUUCAAAUAUUAAAUAGGAAAGUGAUUUUUAAUUUUGAUUAAUUAAAUAAAAGGUAAUAUAUCACAUGAUUUUGCAAUUUCUCACUACAGGAAGCCAGGAAGGUGAAUAAAAAAAAAAAAGGAGGAGCAAGUAUUUCAAAACUGAGAAAAAAAUUCAAAACAGUCUGAGAUGCCUAGUGACGGGUAAGGCGAACCGGAAGUCCUUUUUCCGGUGUUGGCAUCAUGUCGCCGGUGAUCUUCUCCUUAGGAAAUACCACUUCCCAUUUGAACCUCUUGACCACAUUGUGAACGAAAGUGAGGAUUGCUAGGCGAGCGUACUCUUUCCCAGGGCACAUUCUUGGGCCUCCUCCAAAUGGAACAAAUGUGAAAGCUGGGAAUACACUUAGGUCAUCAUAUCUUGAUGGGUCAAACUUUUCUGGGUUGGGGAAGUACUCUGAGUUCAUGUUUACUGUACUCACAGUCCAAUAUACCUUCCAGCCCUUCGGAAUGGUGUAACCGGCGUAGGUAAAAUCAGUCAAGGCCUCUCUGAAUGUUCCUUGAAGUGGCGGCGUGAAUCUCAUCACUUCAUACAACACAUUCCAUGAAUAUUUCAUUUUGUUGAUGUCUUCCCAUUCCAAGAAGUCUCCUGGCUUCUUUGAGUCUGCUAUCUCCUUGUGCUCUGGAAUUUCACAAAACAAAUCAAAUUUUUGCACAAAAAUAUAAACCCCAAAUCUCCAAAUUCAGUUUGGUAAUCAUAAAAAUUAUAUAGUAAUUAUGUUGAAGUGAUUAAUAUUUACCAG